rnacentral:sRNA from 1 species
UCCUACGGACUACGGCCCCUGAUGAUUACUAGUUGGAUCCAACGGCUGUAAAUGUAUCUUAAGAUUGGUCUUGCUCUGUGGAAUUAAUAAUUUGGGUUUUUUUUUUUUCUUUGUCAUCCGAAAAUUAAUUAGGACUCAAACGAGUCAAUCCUGAAGAAUGUUGUUUACAAAUGUAAUAUGAAGCGGUUGGGUACGAACUUUUCGUGCCAAAAAAUCUGCUUUAACAUUAGUACUACGAGAGAUUAAAGAUAGAGAAAAGUUUGUGAACUCAUCCUUAUCGCUCUGUAACUCCUCCAAAUACGAUGAGAAAGCUGGUCAUUCGGUUGGGGAAGACACCAUCUCCACCAGAUCUGAACAGUCUGUAAGAAAAACUACAUCUUGGUUGUCGGCACCAAUCAUACACUUCAUCGCCCAGAGGAAAGCUUCCAGCUCGGCAUGUAAAGGAGAUAAACUUCUUCUGAGAUUGGCAGCUCCCAAAGUUGAUGUCUCUCCAGUUGAUGAUGUACAGUACCAUCCUAAGCCUGAAAACUUGUCGGUAUCUUUCCAAGAUCCAUCUACAAAACAACGAUAUCCAGAAUAAUUGUUGUCUAAAGAAAAAUGCCGCACUCGAUUACGAUCUUCCAAAUUGAAAGAACCAAAAUUUUCGUUGUGAAGCUCAAGUUGAGCGGACUUCCACAAGUCUGACUCUUUUUCCGCCAAAUGUAAGAUCUCUAGAGGAUCUUUAUCCACAUUAUCAAAGAUUUUUUUAUUCCCUGCUUUCCAAAUAUACCAAAUUAUCUAUGGAAAUGAAGAUGAAUCAAAUUCUAAAGGUAUGCGCCAAAAUAAAUGAUCCAAAUUUGCAUAUAUAGAUGCAUAAGGAAAUUUUUCUGGGACCGUAGGUAUCUGUGAAAGUGCCCAAAUCUGACGAGCAGGAUGGCAUAAGAAAAGCGUGUGGUUAAUGGUUUCUUCUAGAGCACCACAUCUGCUACAUCCUAUCUCACAGUUUAUUCCGCGUUUUCGUAGAUUGUCCGUUAUUGGUACACAUCCCGCUAAAAUUUGCCACAAGAAGUGAUAUAACUUGGGCGGACACUGUACUUUCCAUGAGAAUGCUUUUAAGACUUUGAUGUCUGGGUCAAAAAAAAAAAAAGUUAGCAUCCAAAGUUUUUAACCUCCUUAGUAUGAUGUCUGGGUUCUUUAUUUCUUUUUUAGUUUCCUUAGUAUGAUUUAAUGUUAAUUAAUGAAUAAUAUGUUUUUUAGGAUGAGCAGUAAU